UACAGAGGAUGCAAGCGUUAUCCGGAAUGAUUGGGCGUAAAGCGUCUGUAGGUGGUUUGACAAGUCUUCUGUCAAAGAUCAGGGCUUAACCCUGGGCAGGCAGGAGAAACUAUUAGGCUAGAGUUCGGUAGGGGCAGAGGGAAUUCCCGGUGGAGCGGUGAAAUGCGUAGAUAUCGAGAGGAACACCAGUGGCGAAGGCGAGUCCCUGGACAACACCUGACACUGAGGCACGAAAGCUAGGGGAGCAAACAGG
rnacentral:rRNA from 1 species